rnacentral:rRNA from 1 species
UACGUAGGUGGCAAGCGUUGUCCGGAAUUAUUGGGCGUAAAGCGCGCGCAGGCGGCCUCUUAAGUCUGAUGUGAAAAGCCCCCCGGCUCAACCGGGGAGGGCCAUUGGAAACUGGGAGGCUUGAGUAUAGGAGAGAAGAGUGGAAUUCCACGUGUAGCGGUGAAAUGCGUAGAGAUGUGGAGGAACACCAGUGGCGAAGGCGACUCUUUGGCCUAUAACUGACGCUGAGGCGCGAAAGCGUGGGUAGCAAACAGG